rnacentral:rRNA from 1 species
GACGAACGCUGGCGGCGUGCUUAACACAUGCAAGUCGAACGGAAAGGCCCUGCUUUUGUGGGGCGCUCGAGUGGCGAACGGGUGAGUAACACGUGAGUAACCUGCCCUUGACUUUGGGAUAACUUCAGGAAACUGGGGCUAAUACCGGAUAGGAGCUCCUGCUGCAUGGUGGGGGUUGGAAAGUUUCGGCGGUUGGGGAUGGACUCGCGGCUUAUCAGCUUGUUGGUGGGUAGUGGCUUACCAAGGCUUUGACGGGUAGCCGGCCUGAGAGGGUGACCGGCCACAUUGGGACUGAGAUACGGCCCAGACUCCUACGGGAGGCAGCAGUGGGGAAUAUUGCACAAUGGGCGGAAGCCUGAUGCAGCAACGCCGCGUGCGGGAUGACGGCCUUCGGGUUGUAAACCGCUUUCGCCUGUGACGAAGCGUGAGUGACGGUAAUGGGUAAAGAAGCACCGGCUAACUACGUG